rnacentral:lncRNA from 1 species
GGUAUUUGUUUCAGAAAGCUCUUCUGAGCUGAGGGCACUUGAGCUACUGACUUAAUUUCCAAGCACUUGAUUAACACAACAUGGCAAACAGAGGGGAAGUGUAAGUAAUACUGUUUUCCUGGGCUGUUUCUCUCGAAGCUUUGGGGAUAAAUGUCCCCAAAUUCCUAUGUUCAAAGCAGGCCUCCUGUACAAAGAAGAUCUGAUUCCACCUCUCAGCAUUGACUCUUGGGAAAAGAAGAGCCCAGCCAACAAGAGAGCCUACAGUUCAAACAUCAUUAAAGGUCACAAGGGGCUCUGGAGGAACUGGCUUACUGAGAAGUUGAGAAGGAGCACCAGCAGUGAUUUUCUUAAAGACAUGUCCUGCCUCCCUCAGGGACCUUUUUCAGGUCCACCUCUAAAAACUAAAUGACUGUGGGCUCCAUUAGAGUUCAUUUCCCUUAGAGCUUAACUGAUCACUUGUUACAGUAUAACUGCCCACUCUGUGGCACUAUGGCCACAGAAGUACAAAACCCACAGUAGGGACAUAUAUACCUGUGUAUACAUAUUCACAUAUAUACAAAUGCAGGCUUCUUUGGCAUACAAAAAGCUCAGCACUGUCAUAAGAGAUAGAGCUGGGGUGAGCAAAAUUAAUACUCUUCUUGCCAGCUGUAAACAGACAUCUGCAUUUCCUAGUGAGCUGCCAAGAAUGAGACUCUGGGAGCAUAAAUGAUGUGCCAAAAACAGUCUAUUUAUUCCAACUUCCAGAAGCAAUCAGGAGCAGGCACAAAGUCAGAAUUACAGGUCGGAUAUAUGAAUUUCAGAUCUGUCACCACGCUCAGCACCUGGGAUUGGGUUGGUGUCAAGCAUUGUAUGAGACAUAAACAUGGCAUUUGCGUUUUCUACUAAUACUACUUUUGUUGCUUUGGAGAAAAGGAAAUGUGGAUGCCAUGGAAACUGAAAAGUGUUGGGUGAUGUGCUGCUUGAAAUGGACAAGCCCAAAUUGGUCUUCACUACCUUGUGCAAGCAGAUCAUCAAAACCCCAGUUGAGUAUGGACUCAGGGUCAUCCUGCAUCUCUGAUGUGCCUACUUUCACUGGAUACUAGAAAUUUCUGUGGUGGUAACCUACUCCAGCCAAACUUCCGAAGGAAACACAUGCUGCAGUCAAUCCUCCUCUGUCUGGGAGAAAAAUCAAAAGCCAAGUAGAAAUGACUAAAGGCAACUGAGUACCAGAUAUAAAAGUGACUUCCUCACAGCAAAUGUGCCCCAGCUCUUGUUAUUUGAGUGACUUUGGUAAGGAUGACUCCAUGUGAUGGGAGCUGACAGGACAGCAGCUGCUUCCUAAAAACAACAUGUAUACUUACACAUGCCUUUCCAACCAUAUACAUGAAGGGUGGACAAUCAGGCCCACUAGACAGAUUUGUUUAGCUUGCCAAGGGUGGGUGUGAGGAAGGUAUAAGGUUAGGAAAAAGGAAUCACAUUAGUCUAAGUAGCUGGUAAAAUGUUGUGGGUUUUCUAAGUGAAACCCAAAUACAGGUUAUCAAGAGAUUAGGUAAAAGAAAGUCAGCAAAGGUAGUUAUUCUAAAACUUCUCCCCUUCCCAAACCAAUGCUAAUUUGUUCUUCCACCAAAGUAUGCCAAUGAAAGUGCUAGUGUUCUGCCUCUGGCAAAGCCUGUUUUUUGAAUAGUUUAAUGUCAAGUGCCUGAUACAGUCAUCUGCAAGUUUAAUCAAGAGUGUUUGGAUUUUCUUUUUUUGUUCUCAUUGGUUAGGUUGGAGACAUAGUAGAUUAGUUGUCAAAACAUAUACAGCUCUGACACAGAGAGCUAGGUAUGUGGCUCUUCUGCUGUGGGCGAAGCUGUGUUCAACAGAUGGAAAUGGACAUCUGUAUGUCACCAAGAUGGCUCAUGCCUGUCCUUACACUGCUUUGGGCUGUUGUUCACAGGUUGGGAAGUUAGUUUUCAAAAUAUGGUCAUAGGUUUGGUUUGGAAUUCUAGGACCUUCAUAACUGAGGCUGCAUUUUAAUGAUCUCUUUCUAUAUCCAUCUGGUCACAUUGUCCUCAGCAAGAAGGAAUAGCAAACCUGCCUACAAUAGGAAAAAUAUCAAAAGAGCAGAGCCCCACCUUCCCCAAGUGGACACUGGAUCCCAGAGAGUUUAUCACAGGCACUGGAUAAAGAAAAGUUGGAAAUUUAAUACAAAUGAUUUGAUUGAUACUUCCAGGGACAAAGAACACAUGCUCUUCGUAGCCUAUAUGGCUAAUACCAGCCUCAUAAGACAGUGGGGGAGGAAUAGCUUAUGAAUAUUUGAGGGAAUAUCUGCCCCCAAUUUGAUCCUGAGUUUUUACCAGGAUCAAAAAAAAAAAUUGUUUGACAAUACCCAGAAUACCCUUUUCCCCUCCAGAGCUACUCUUGUUGGAAUUAGAGGAAGCAACAUAAUUCUUAUUUUUAAUUUUUUGGGGCAAAAUGUAUUUUUCCCCAACAGCAAGAAUAUUUGGGUUUUCUUUGGCAUAAACCUUAUUUCUAGAAAUCCUCAUGUCCAAUUGCUUUCCCCCUUAUUAUCCAAAGCUUCAGUCUCUCUUUCUUUCAAGACAAAUAUGUUUAAGUAGCUGCAGUCACACCUCACAGGUGUUCAAAGAGAAGGGCAACUCUAUACAGGAUACCAUAUGAUUAGAGCUUCUAAUGACCACACAGAAGGCAAACAAAUAAAAAUGCCAAGCUCAUUUCCCUCAUUUCUUACUCAAGAGAAGAGAAGUAAAUGAAAGGAAGGAGAACUAGAUUUGCAAUUACAAAUGUGGCAAAAAGAUACAGCAGAACCGGUGCAAUUUAGCCUUCAGGUGCAGAAUAUGGAGGCCAAAAGAAUGUGGAGUGGACUUAAUUAGAUGCAAUUGUCUUCAUAGUGAAAGUAGUCAGCUAAACCCAAUCUCCAGCAUUUUGGAAGAGACUUCCUGCCCCUCCUCCCCGGAGUGGUGCCCUCUUUAGGCACAUGGUUGUUCCACACCACUAGGUGGAGAAGGAAAGAUUGAGAGCUACUCACAAUCCUUGUGGAGCUCCAUUCUAGGUUAUUUGGCAGAGCAUAAGAAUCUCAAUAAUAACAGUGGUAAGUAAUAGCUGCCCUUGUGUUAGUGAAGAGGAACAUUUUUAAUCAUUCAGAAAUUUUCGUGACAUGUAAAGUGCAAUUGUGAGGAAUGUGUGGGUGUACGAAAAUGUAUCUGUCAAGUUCAGAGUCCUCUAGAUUAAAAAAAAAAAACUUAUAAGAUUAUCAAUGGUGCCGUUAAUAGAUGUGUUGGACAAUGGGUGUACCCAUUUUCACAAUUAUUCUCAAAACAAAUCUAUGUUCAGAUGCUUUAAAAUUUUAUCACAUGAUACAAGAAUAUAACUUUGUCAGCCUUUAAAAGUUCCUUUUCUUUUACUUUCUUAUUUUUUUUCCUUCAAAAAUCAAUGAAGACUUGAUUUCUGUCAAUCAUUGUAUUGAGGGUGAAUAUACUACCUGAAUUUUGUGCAUGUUACAUUGUAGUUGUAACCUUUUCUAAUUCAGGAUGAAUACAAGAUGGUUGUGAUUGUGCAGUGUAUCAAUAAAGUUUGAAGACAUUUGUAACUUUUAGGGGACUCUUCAUUAGGAUGUCCCUUAGAAAUCUCACAAUGGAAAAAAAAAUGAAGCAGUUAUGUGUUUCAGACUUUGGAGAGUCAGUGUGAUCAGGAAUAUGAGUAGGGCCCCACCUGUCUCCCUCACCCUUUUUCCUCUUACACACACACACACACACACACACACACACACACACACACACAGGGCGGGGGCAGAAAGGACUCUUCACUUGUAUGACUAUCAAAUAACUUUGCUAUUUACAAACAACAAAACAUUCGGCUCAAGCCCUAAGUUCUCAAAUAUUUGUUGAUAUUUGAUAAAUUAAAAUCAAAUAUUUCCUAAAAC